rnacentral:lncRNA from 1 species
GCCUUAACACGCCCAUAGAACUUGGACUUCUCCUGUGUUGUCUGGAAUCUACCAUGGCCAAACUUGGAGGAUGUAUCAAUAAACUUGAGCUUAAUCUCCUCCAAAGCAACCCUAGAUGUCUGGUUCAACAAUGAUUGUCUCAAGGUCACAACUCUCUUCUUUGGUCCCACGCAGCAUCCUUUUAUCAUCAAAUAAUCUUCCUUCACCACACCAUAAUGGGGGAAUCCUCCCAUUGGAGUGAUAUCCUUUUCAGUCCUGUUAUUUGUGAAACAGAUUAGCCAAUUUCGAUGGGGCAAAUUUACAAUAACAACAAUAACCUCCUACGAAUUGCUAGAUCAAGACGAAUGAUAUUAAUAUAGGACAGUGAAAAAAAGGCAUUAAGAAUGUUAACCUGUCAUAUUCAGUAAUUGCAGUAUGAGAAUCUUGGCCACUCUUCCCAAGCUUGUAGAUUUUCUUGUUCAUCUCAGUACGGUGAUGGUAACCAUUCUGUCCAGCCCUAGCAACAGUAAAUGACACCCUAGCUGGAUGCCAAGCACCAAUACAUGCCACCUUCCUUAGACCACGAUGGGUCUUGCGGGGCAGGCGGGUCACACCCCAACGAGUAACCACACCUUCAUAUCCCUUACCCUUGGUUACACCAAUAAUAUCAAUCAUCUCAUCCUUUUGGAAAACAGCAUCAAUAGGUAUCUGCUUCUCAAAGAAACUGUAUGCAAAAUCAACCUUCUUGGCAACAUCCCCACCAUUUACUUGAAUCUCCAUCAGAUGGGCUUUCUUCUGCUUCAACCCUUUCAUCUUUCUUAUCUGCAGAGUCAAUAGUGCAGCAAAUGUGAAGAGUUAAAGAUUAAAGAAGAGCACAUACAAGUUGUACUCAGAAGACCAAAACUGUGAAUCUAUACAAGGAUCAGCAAUCCAGCAGUCUUAAGGUGCUACUAAAUUGAUGAGUAAUUAUAUCUCAUUAGCAGAACUGAAUACACAAGGGAAAAGUGAAAGUAAUUUACCUGGGUGUGCGCCAAGACUCGAAUGACCGAACAAUGCUUCUUCAGUUUCUCCAAUUGAGCUUGAAUAUCUUUCUUCCCAUCCUCAGAUUCAAACUUUUUAGAGUACUUGGUGAAUGCCUUCUUCUUCGACUUGCACCAGUUCUUGUAGAAUCUCCUCCUCACAUCCUCACUCAAAUGCUGGGCCCAGACAGUGUUCAGUGAACGGAGACCACGGGGUGUUUUCAUAUAACCCACAACCCCAACCACCACCAUAGGUGGUGUCUCUACGAUAGUAACAGCCUCACAUGUUUCUUUCUUGUGGAGCUUUGACCCUGGCUUUUCAACUUCUCUGACAAUGUGGGUCAUCCCUGCUUUGUAACCCAGAAAAGCAGUCAAUCUGCAAGGUUUUGUUGGAUCAUCUUUGGGGAACGCCUUCACUGUAAACAUCACAUAAAAGCGUUAAAAAAAAAUCAACAAUUGCACAACACUAACCAAUAUGCAAAUUGCAAAAAUAGUCAAUAUAAACAACUCACAAGUGAGUAAGAAAUCAACAUUAACAAAUAUUGAAAUAAUUUAAUUGCAAGGCACUGAAAAAAAUCAAUGCAAACACUAAAACUAAGGAAGCAACAUAGGAAGAUGACACUCUUUAUGAAAACAAAAAAAAUUCUUGUAUUAAAAUCUAGAACUGCUAGGAAAUGCGAAUAAUUCAUUUAUAAUAACAAACCAACUACCAAGGCUAGGCAUAGGCCAUCUAUCUACCCACAACUCAUGCAGCAUAGAAAAGAGGCCAUUAUUGAAAUAUCAAGGACCUAUUUACUUGUAGAAAACAGUUUUUCUUUUCAACCUUCGAAGAAUUAGAAGACUAUAGUUUUCUUUUUAUAAAGAAAACAAAGGAAAAGAUGGAAAGCAAGUUCAAUAGUGAAUGAUAGAAAAUAGUUAUGUAUUUUAAAAAUUUUUAAGAAUUAUUUGUAUCCAUUCGUAAUAAAAAAAAAAGUCAUGAUAAAUAUAUUUUAGAUCUAUUUUUUAAUUGUGUCAAUUGUUUUAUCUUAUAAUAAUAUAGUUAGUUCUCAUUACUGUAAAUAAAUGUUUUUUCCCAACUUAAUGAUGAAAAGUUAUAGAAUAAUUUGAGUCAUUAGAGGAGAACAGUUGAAAAUAGAACUUUUGUUAUAAAGAAAAAUAAUGAGGAAAAAACAUAAAGCUGAUUUCCAAAUCUUAGUCAAGUUUUGGAAAAUUGAAAAACAAAAUUUUCAAUUCUCAGAUUGGAAAAUUGAUACAUAUGCACACAAAACUUUAUUUUCCAAUUUACUUAGAACAUUAUUCCCAAAAAUUACUCCAGUUUUCUACAAGUAAGAAAGUACAAAAAGUCCUGAGAUUUUUCAUGCCAAGGAAGAAAUGACAUACAAACGGACAAACCAUACAUGAAUUUAUUUUAUCAAAAGCCCUAUUUUUACAUCCAAAAAACCGAAGACAACCUUAACUAUAGAGGAGUUAGCUAAUACUAAAAAACCACCAUAAUAUGAUCAAAACUAAACAAAAAGCAAUUUAGGCAACAUCAAUUACUGAUAAUGAAAACAAUCAAUGCAUGACUUCAAAAAAAUCAACCAAUGCACAUUAUGUAAGGCCAAAUAUAAAUUUAAAAAGCUUCAGCAAUAAUGAGAUUAAAACAAGAAUUAGAAACCUUUUCCUCUGUGGCGCGAGGCUCUCUUCCUUGGAAGAAAUCCCAAAGAACCAUGCCGGGGGUGUUCAAACUUGCGAUGAGACAUGCUUCAACUUCAGGGUACCACUGCAACACUAUGAAUUUCAAACUUAUUUUCCUUGAAAAAGGCAGAAAAUUCACAACAACAGAAAGCAACAAAUUUUCAAAUGAUAUUUGGUUAAUCUCAAAUGCUACUACUUAUCAAUCUGCGUGUGUAUAAAACCAGAGAAACACUAUUCUCUCCAAGUGAAAAGGAUUAAAGAGGUAUUAUCCCAUAAAGGAGCUGAAAAUUGAGAUAAAGUUUCUGGAUAAAAGCAUAAUGACUAAAACACAGAUACAAAUUAAUAGAAACAUUCAAGUUUCAAUUAAAAAUAAUAAACAUUCUCAAAAAGAAGGGUAAGUUUUAAUAUUUAACAAUUAAUUUAUUAAAAAAAUACACAAUUGACAAUUUCAUUGAAAUACUAUGUAGUCAGACAAAAGUUUCUUGUAUUUGGAUCAGAUAAGGAAAAGUAAAAUCGUAAAUAAUCAAGAGAAACCAUCACAUUAAUUAAACCUGAUUGGAAGCCUCAAAACGGUUCUUUAUUCAACUUUAAAAAUCACUUAANNNNNNNNNNNNNNNNNNNNNNNNNNNNNNNNNNNNNNNNNNNNNGCCAUCAAAAUGCUACAAAGCCAAAAGGUCAUACAAUUUCAUUACUCAAUAAUCACGAAUUUCUUUUCUAGAAAAAAUGAAAUUAUAUCAACCCUUGACCUCUAAGCAUUUGAUAUCAACACCAAACCUUAAUAAGUGAAAUGAAAUGCUUCCCAACCAAAGGCCUAUGGCAUAAAAAUUAUGCCAAAUCUCAAAGCUCAGUGGUAUUCCUUUUCAAAUACCAAUUCAUGGUAUCGGCAAAAAGAGCCAUUUCCGAGACUCCAGCCUUGAUUAUUUCAGCAAUUCUCUUAUAAAGGGAAGUCGUUUCAAAAUCACCACCACGCAAGGCGCAAUAUCAAAAUGUUUAUCAGGACAAGAGCAUUAAAAGAACCUUUAAAAAACCUCCAAAACAUCUAUUUACAAAAGAGUAAAACAAGCAGAACCCAACUCCUUCCAGAACCAAGUAGAGAUCUAAGCUAAUCAAAUAUUGAAUCAAAAAGCGCAAACCAUUAUGAAUAAAUGACAGAAAUUGUAAGGUAUUACCUCCCGAGGAGAUCACUGGACGUACUGUGUGCCGAUAAGAACCCUAGAAAGGUUUAGCUAGGCAUUUAUAUCGUUCUCGAGGUCAGAUCCAACGGCUGCAAUUAGCAUCCAAUGGGUAUUAUUGUCCGUUGGAUGGUUAGGGUUGGGGUUUUGCAAGAAGCGCCGCGGAUCCAGCAGCUAUGGAAAAUAGUAAAUGGGCUAAGAAUAUUCAAAGUUGGGCUGAUUUGUUUUUUGGUUAGUGACUUUUAAGUUAAGUUUGGGUUCUGAGCAAAUUUUAAAAUGGUAUUUAGAAAUUGAAAACGUAAAUCAUAAAAUACUAUUUAUUUUAAUUUUGAAUAAAAAUUAUCUAUCAAAUAUUAAAAUAAUUAGUAACUAUUAAAACAUGUAAUAUUACUAGACAUUAUUUUGAAAAUAAUUUUUUUUAUAACAAUUAUAUAACCUUCAUGUGUAUAGAUGUAAAUAAUUUUUAUCAAAAUAAGAAAUUAAAUUUAUGGGAUAAAUUAUAGUUAAUCAAACUUUAUAAUUUUUUAAUUUUGUUAUAUAUAUUUAUGGUGUCCAAUAAAAAAUGUUAAAUUUUUAUUAAUUAGACAAAUAAAAAAUGUAAGGAUCUUUCUUCUUUUCUCGAAUGUGAGUUCUAUCCUUCCUUUGCCUCUAAGAGUGAGACACAUUUUUUUAGCUACUUUUACUCGGUGAAUUUAAAAAUUAGAAAGAAAUUAUAUUUUUUCUAUAUGCAUAUUUGGAUCUUUGUUGGUUUUCUCCUAUAUUUGCUUGGGUGGUUCAUAAUGUUCUAUUUGGACACUUUAUUUUUAGAGGAAACUCUUUUCCUUUAGAGGAAACUCUUUUCCUUUAGAGGACAUAGCCCCUUCCUUCGGGGGAGUUAUGUUUUUUGUGCUCAAUUAUUAUUUUUUUGUAGUUCUUGGUCUAAAUACUCUAAAAUCUAUUAAUAAAAUUAUUUUUUUUAAAAAAUAAGUUUUACCCUCCUUUCAGAUUCAAGCUUACUCAAUCAUGGAAAUAGCCUCUCUCAUUUCCAUCGAAUUUAGGGUACUCUGAUGCUCGGAAUGGAGGUCGUUUAUCGCAUCAUCACUAGCUCAUCCUCUCCUGAAGACCUAAAACAAUCUAUAAAUUCAAGUGGGAUUUUUCUCGAUAACAAUUUGAUCGAUAAAGUUCUCAAAAGGUUCAGGUUUGGUCAUGGGAAACCCUUGCAAGCACUUGAGCUCUUUAAAUUCACUGCCAAUAGAAAAGGGUUUUAUCACACUCCGAAUUCGUUAGAUACCAUGCUUUAUAUAUGGGCAAAGUCGUCAAUUUGAUCAUAUUUGGGAUGUUUUGAUUAAAAUGAAGAGGAAAGACCCGUCUUUGAUUUCCUCACGAACUAUGCAAGUGGUUUUGGGUAGACUGUGGAAUCUUUUAGAAUGUUCAAGAAGUUGGUUCCUGUGUUUGAUACCAGUUCUUUCAAUGCACUGUUGAGACCCUGUGUUUUCUUUAACAAAGGAAUGAUGAUCCAACCAAUGCACACGCCCCUGGAAUACCGCAGGGCAUAGAGCUCCCUACUUUCUUCUAAUACAAAAGCUACUUCCGACUGGUUUGUUCUUGGAGAAGGAGCUGGUUUUGCUCCUCUUAGAAGAGCUAGAACAUGCUAAGGUAUACCAGCUUUAGGUCAGCUUUUUCUAUUUGUUUUCUUUGAGAGGGGUUUGUUUCCCUUAUGUAUGGUCAAAUGCUGAGAUAACAGAGAAGAGGAGCAAAGAUUUACCCAGAAUUCCUAGGUGGAAGCUUCACAAGGGUAGCCCAAGUAUUUCUGUAGGUUGAAUUUCACAAAUAUGAUGGGCUUUAUGAGUUUUUUAUUUAUUGUAUUCAGGCCUUGAAAAAAAAAAAUAAAUAUCUAACAAUGAACUUUAAAAACUCGCAUCUCAUCCAAAAAGGUUCAGUAAUAAUUAAAGCAGCAGAUGCAGUCACUAAGCAAACCAACAGCAUAAGCACACCUCAAAAGGUUCAAACACUAGGAGAAAAACAAAUUCUCAAACGUAAGAAGAAAAGUUUUGAUGUUCAUCCAUCCUCUCCCAUGCUUAACUAAACUCAAGCCUUAACACGCCCAUAGAACUUGGACUUCUCCUGUGUUGUCUGGAAUCUUCCAUGGCCAAACUUGGAGGAUGUAUCAAUGAACUUGAGCUUAAUCUCCUCCAAAGCAACCCUAGAUGUCUGGUUCAACAAUGAUUGUCUCAAGGUCACAACUCUCUUCUUUGGUCCCACGCAGCAUCCUUUUAUCAUCAAAUAAUCUUCCUUCACCACACCAUAAUGGGGGAAUCCUCCCAUUGGAGUGAUAUCCUUUUCAGUCCUGUUAUUUGUGAAACAGAUUAGCCAAUUUCGAUGGGGCAAAUUUACAAUAACAACAAUAACCUCCUACGAAUUGCUCGAUCAAGAAGAAUGAUAUUAAUAUAGGACAGUGAAAAAAAAGCAUUAAGAAUGUUAACCUGUCAUAUUCAGUAAUUGCAGUAUGAGACUCUUGGCCACUCUUCCCAAGCUUGUAGAUUUUCUUGUUCAUCUCAGUACGGUGAUGAUAACCAUUCUGUCCAGCCCUAGCAACAGUAAAUGACACCCUAGCUGGAUGCCAAGCACCAAUACAUGCCACCUUCCUUAGACCACGAUGGGUCUUGCGGGGCAGACGGGUCACACCCCAACGAGUAACCACACCUUCAUAUCCCUUACCCUUGGUUACACCAAUAAUAUCUAUCAUCUCAUCCUUUUGGAAAACAGCAUCAAUAGGGAUCUGCUUCUCAAAGAAACUGUAGGCAAAGUCGACCUUCUUGGCAAUAUCCCCACCAUUCACCUGAAUCUCCAUUAGAUGGGCUUUCUUCUGCUUCAACCCUUUCAUCUUUCUUAUCUGCAGAGUCAAUAGUGCAGCAAAUGUGAAGAGUUAAGGAUUAAAGAAGAGCACAUACAAGUUGUACAUGAAAGAACAGAAUCAUGAAUCUAUUGAGGAUCAGAAAUCCAGCAGAGCCUUAAAGUGCUACUAAAUUAUUGAGUGAUGAUAUCUCAUUCACAAAUACAGAAAUGAAUGCACAAGGGAAAAGUGGAAGUAAUUUACCUGGGUGUGCGCCAAGACCCGAAUGACGGAACAAUGCUUCUUCAGUUUCUCCAAUUGAGCUUGAAUAUCUUUCUUCCCAUCUUCAGAUUCAAACUUCUUAGAGUACUUGGUGAAUGCCUUCUUUUUGGACUUGCACCAGUUCUUGUAGAAUCUCCUCCUCACAUCCUCACUCAAAUGCUGGGCCCAGACAGUGUUCAGUGAACGGAGACCACGGGGUGUUUUCAUAUAACCCACAACCCCAACCACCACCAUGGGUGGUGUCUCUACGAUAGUAACAGCUUCACAUGUUUCUUUCUUGUGGAGCUUUGACCCUGGCUUUUCAACUUCUCUGACAAUGUGGGUCAUCCCUGCUUUGUAACCCAGAAAAGCAGUCAAUCUGCAAGGUUUUGUUGGAUCAUCUUUGGGGAAUGCCUUCACUGUAAACAUCACAGAAAAGCGUAAAAAAAAUCAACAAUUGCACAACACUAACCAAUAUGCAAAUUGCAAAAAUAGUCAAUAUAAACAACUCACAAGUGAGUAAUAAAUCAACAUUAACAAAUACUGACAUAAAUUUAAUUGCAAGGCACUGAAACAAAUCAAUGCAAACACUAAAACUAAGGAAGCAACAUAGUAAGAUGACACUCUUUAUGAAAACAAAAAAAUGCUUGUAUUAAAAUCUAGAACUGUUAGGAAGUGCGAAUAAUUCAUUUAUAAUAACAAACCAACUACCAAGGCUAGGCAUAGGCCAUCUAUCUACCCACAACUCAUGCAGUCAGAAAAGAGGUUAUUAUUGAAAUAUCAAGGACCUAUUUACUUGUAGAAAACAGUUUUUCUUUUCAACCUUCGAAGAAUUAGAAGACUGUAGUUUUCAUUUUAUAAAGAAAACAAAGGAAAAGAUGGAAAGCAAGUUCAAUUGUGUAUGACAGAAAAUAGUUUUGUAUCUUAAAAAUUUUUUAAAAAUUAUUUGUAUCCAUUCGUAAUAGAAAGAGUCAUGAUAAAUAUAUUUUACAUCUAUUUUUUUAAAUGUGUCAAUUGUUUUAUCUUAUAAUAAUAUAGUUAGUUUUCAUUACUGUAAAUAAAUGUUUUUUCCAAACUUAAUGAUUAAAAGUUAUAGAAUAAUUUUAGUCAUUAGAGGAAAACAGUUGAAAAUAGAACUUUUGUUAUAAAGAAAAAUAACGAGGAAAAAACAUAAAGCUGAUUUCCAAAUCUUAGUUAAGUUUAGAAAAUUGAAAAACAAAAUUUUCAAUUCUCAGAUUGGAAAAUUGAUACAUAUGCACACAAAACUUUAUUUUCCAAUUUACUUAGAACAUUAUUCCCAAAAAUUACUCCAGUUUUCUACAAGUGAGAAAGUACAAAAAGUCCUGAGAUUUUUCAUGCCAAGGAAGAAAUGACAUACAAAAGGACAAACUAUACAUGAAUUUCUUUAAUCAAAAGCCCUAUUUUUACAUCCAAAAAACAGAAGACAACAUUAACCAUAGAGUUCGCUAAUACUAAAAAAACACCAUAAUAUGAUCAAAACUAAACAAGAAGCAAUUUAGGCAACAUCGAUUACUGAUAAUGAAAACAAUCAAUGCAUGACUUCAAAAAAAUCAACGAAUGCAUAUUAUGUAAGGCCAAAUAUAAAUUUAAAAAGCUUCAGCAAUAAUGAGAUUAAAACAAGAAUUAGAAACCUUUUCCUCUGUGGCGCGAGGCUCUCUUCCUUGGAAGAAAUCCCAAAGAACCAUGCCGGGGGUGUUCAAACUUGCGAUGAGACAUGCUUCAACUUCAGGGUACAACUGCAACACUCUAUGAAUUUCAAACUUAUUUUCCUUGAAAAAGGCAGAAAAUUCACAACAACAGAAAGCAACAAAUUUUCAAAUGAUAUUUGGUUAAUCUCAAAUGCUACUGCUUAUCAAUCUGUGUGUAUAAAACCAGAGAAACACUAUUCUCUCCAAGUGAAAAGGAUUAAAACAGGUAUUAUCCCAUAAAGGAGCUGAAAAUUGAGAUAUAGUUUCUGGAUAAAAUCAUAAUGACUAAAACACAGAUACAAAUUAAGAGAAACAUUCAAGUCAAUUAAAAAUAAUAAACAUUCUCAAAAAGAAGGGUAAGUUUUAAUAUUUAACAAUUACUUUAUUAAAAAAUACACAAUUGACAAUUUCAUUGAAAUACUGUGUAGUCAGACAAAAGUUUCUUGUAUUUGGAUAAGAUAAGGAAAAGUAAAAUCGUAAAUAAUCAAGAGAAACCAUCAGAUUAAUUAAACCUGAUUGGAAACCUCAAAACGGUUCAUUAUUCAACUUUAAAAAUCAAUUAAAAAAAUUUUUGAAAAAAAAGACUCAGCCAUCAAAAUGCUACAAAACCAAAAGGUCAUACAAUUUCAUCACUCAAUAAUCACGAAUUUCUUUUCUAGAAAAAAUGAAAUUAUAUCAACCCUUGACCUCUAAGCAUUUGAUAUCAACACCAAACCUUAAUAAGUGAAAUGAAAUGCUUCCCAACCAAAGGCCUAUGGCAUAAAAAUUAUGCCAAAUCUCAAAGCUCAGUGGUAUUCCAUUUCAAAUACCAAUUCAUGGUAUCGGCAAAAAGAGCCAUUUCCGAGACCCCAGCCUUGAUUAUUUCAGCAAUUCUCUUAUAAAGGGAAGUCAUUUCAAAAUCACCACCAGGCAAGAUUAUCAGGACAAGAGCAUUAAAAGAACCUUUAAAAAACCUCCAAAACAUCUAUUUACAAAAGAGUAAAACAAGCAGAACCCAACUCCUUCCAGAACCAAGUAGAGAUCUAAGCUAAUCAAAUAUUGAAUCAAAAAAAGCAAACCAAGUAGAGAUCUAAGCUAGAAGUUUAAUUAUCAUGUAUGUUUAUGAAUCAAUGACAGGAAUUGUAAGGUAUUACCUCCCGAUGAGGAGAUCACUGGACGUACUGUGUGCCGAUAAGAACCCUAGAGAGGUUUAGCUAGACAUUUAUAUCGUUCUCGAGAUGAGAUCCAACGGCUGUAAUUAGCAUCCAAUGGGUAUUAUCGUUGGAUGGUUAGGGUUAGCGUUUUGCAAGAAGAGCCGCCGAUCCAGCAGCUAUGGAAACUAGUAAAUGGGCUAAGAAUAGAGAAAGCCGACUACAUCCAGUCCAAUAUUCAAAGGUGGGCUGAGUUGUUUUUUGGUUAGUAACUUUUAAGUUUGGGUUCUGAGAAAAUUUUAAAAUGGUAUUUAGAAAUUGAAAACGUAAAUCAUAAAAUACUAUUUUUUUUAAUUUUGAGUAAAAAUUAUCUAUCAAAUAUUAAAAUAAUUAGUAACUAUUAAAACAUGUAAUAUUACUAGACAUUAUUUUGUAAAUAAUUUUUUUAUAAAUGUAAAUAAUGUUAUCAAAAUAAGAAAUUAAAUUUAUGGGAUAAAUUAUAGUUAAUCAAACUUUACCAUUUUUCUAAUUUUGUUAUAUAUAAUUAUGGUGCCCAAUAAAAAAUGUUAAAUUUCUAUUAAUUAGACAAAUAAAUCUAACCGUGGUUUUAUUUUUUUUUUUUUUUAAAUAAAGAUUCUCUCUCCAAAUUCCUUUCUUAAGUUUUAACUUAAAUUCAUUUGCUGCCUCCUGUGCGGGUGAGCAGUAUUCGGUUCAAAUCGAAAAAAUUGAUCGAACCGAACUGAUUUAAAAUUUUAGUUCGGUUUUUUAUAUAUUUUGGUUCAGUUUGGUUUUUAAUUUUAGAAAUUUCGGUUAUUUCAAUUCGGUUCGAUUUUAAUUAAAAAAAAAUCGAAAAAACCGAAUCAAACCGAUUAGUAAUAAUAAUAUAUUUUUUCAAUAAUAUAGAGAAAUUAAAUCAUAUUAAAAUUAAAAUAUUUUAAUUAAAUUUUAAAAUAUUAAAAAUAAAAUGUAAAAAAUAAAAAAAUUAUUAAAAAUCGAAACUGAUCAAACCGAACCGAAUCGAACCGAAUCAUACCGGUUUGGUUCGAUUCGAUUUCUAAUCAAAAUCGGUUCGGUUCGAUUUUCAUAAAUACUAAAAUUUCGGUUUCGGUUUAUUCGAUUCGGUUCGAUUUUGAACCGAACUGACCGAAUGCUCACCCCUACUCCUGUGGUUUAUCAUAUCUCUGCAUGUAAGAGGAUCCUUCUACCCUUCCUUUGCCUCUAAGGGUAAGAGAGACCUCUUUUCUUUUUUGAAUAUAGUUUCUAUUUUCUCCCAUCCGAUUGGAUUGUAGAUAAUCCUUUUAACUAUUUUUACUCGGUUGUAUUUAAGCAUUCGAAAGAGAUCAUAUAUUUUUUAUAUGCAUAUUUGAAUCUUUGUGGGUUUUUCUCCUCUUUGCUUGUCUCUUUCAUAAUGUUCUAUUUGUAUACUUUAUUUUUAAAGUAAACUCCUUUACUUUAGAGGACAUGCCCCUUCUUUAGCAUGAAUUAUAUUUUUUGUGUCUAAUUGUUAUUUUUUUUGCGAUUGUUGGUCUAAAGAUUCUAAAUUACUCUUUGAUGAUUAUCAUUCGAUAGAGGGGGCAAGAAACAAAAUAAUAGUUGUAUCUAGCACAUGCUCGUAAACAGUUUAGAAAGCAGGAAUGAGAUGACAAAUAAUGAUACCACCUUUAUUCAUUGCCAACACAUAAUAGAUGUAGAGUUUCUAUAUGGUUCGGUACUCAAUGGUUUUCUCUUUAUCUUUCUUCGAAUAUUUUUUAUUUCUUUACUUUUUUUUAUUUUUCACAUUUAAAUUUAUCAAUAUCAACAUCUCAAUAAAUAGCUAGCUUAGUAUAGUUAGGGUUAUAUAAUUUUUUUUCAGUAGGAUAGGCUUGCUUGUAAUGGGAUUGUGUUUUACAUGUAUGAAAGAAUAAAUAUCAAAUACUUAAAUUUUUAAAAAAUUUAUUAAUUUAUUUAUAUUUUAAAAUUAUUCAAUUAAAAUAUCUUUAUAUUUUACAUAAUCAAACUCUUGUAAUUUUUAUGUUACUUUACAAGAUUUAUUUUAAAUUUGAUCAGAAAAAUUAAAUAGUAUGAAUAUUUCAAAUUAUAAAAAUUAAAUAAUACAUAUAAUUAAAAUUAUAAAAACCAACCAAAACAAUUAUUCCAGGUAGGUUGCUAAUGUUUUUUUUUUUUAACAGAAAAAAAAAUUUAUAUUUUACAAAAUAUAAAAAUAAUUUAAUGGAGUGAUUUGAAAAUAAAAACAAACUAGUUUAUUUAAUAAAAUUUCAGGGAUUACAUAAUAAUUUAGCCUAGAUGUAUUUGGGAUGGGUUUGGACCAAGCAAUAUUGUUUUUUCUUUUUAGUCAUAGCCUAUCUGAGGGCCCUCAACUAGAAAAUGAAAUUGCAUUAAUAAAAUUAAUUUGGUUGGACUCAAUUAAAUUUGAUAUAUUGGCUUGGAUUAAUUAUAAAUUCAGUUUCAGUUAUGUUUCUCAAUAUUAACUUUAAUUUGAAACUUAAUUACAAUUAAUUAAAAAGUUAAACUAUUCUAUUGGCUCCUUUCUAGAUUACCUCAGCUUGAUACGGUCUUUUGCCCAGAAAUGCAAGAAAUCUAGAAUGUUUACUUCUAGAUGAUGUGCAAGUCCAUUAGUUCUUUUGGGUCGGAUCUAGAGAAUCCAAUCAGGAUUAAUGUUUUCUGGGUGGAAUUUACAUUUGAGUUGUCUUUUACUGGAACCAAAUCAUUGUACUUUUAGGCCAUAGUUAAUGAUAUUUCAAUCCAAAAUUUGAUACUAAAUUCACAUUGAUUUCACACAUCUCAAAAACCAUAAAGAUGACCUUGACAUAAUACUUAUUAAUAAAUUCGAUUAUUAUAUGGGCAAUCUAUUAACAGAAAAUGGACAUUAAACUGAAAAGCAUCGAACAGAAGUAAUACAAAUACCAUAUGCAUUGCAUUUUGUGCUCAAGCAGACACUUGAAAGCUAAUGAUCUGGAUUAGGAAUACUAUUACUUCAUACAUGCUUCCAUUCAGUCAUCAAGCAAACUGGCUUUGUUAAUGGUACCUCAAAUCAUCAAUGUCAUGCCCUUUGAGAGCAAAAUGGAGCACUGAAAUCAAUGGCAUUCAGAUAUAUAAAUAGCAGUAAAUAAUUUAAUAAGGAAAGCUCCAAACAGGUUCAGUAAUAAUUGAAGCAACAAAACUACAGUCACCAACAAAAACCAACAGAGUAAUCCAACUCAAAAAUUUCAAACACUAGGAGAAAAAGUUGUGAUGUUUAUUUAUCCUCUCCCAUGCUUAGCUAAACUCAAGCCUUAACCCGCCCAUAGAACUUUGCCUUCUCCUGUGUUGUCUGGAAUCUACCAUGGCCAAACUUGGAGGAUGUAUCAAUGAACUUGAGCUUAAUCUCCUCCAAAGCAACCCUAGAUGUCUGGUUCAACAAUGAUUGUCUCAAGGUCACAACUCUCUUCUUUGGUCCCACGCAGCAUCCUUUUAUCAUCAAAUAAUCUUCCUUCACCACACCAUAGUGGGGGAACCCUCCCAUUGGUGUGAUAUCCUUUUCAGUCCUGUUAUUUUUGAAACACAUUAGCCAAAAUUGACAUAGCAAAUUUACAAAAGCUACCAAAAUCUCUAUGAUUUGCCUGAUCAAGGUGCAUAGUAUUAAAAUAGGACUGUAAAGGGAACAAGCAUU